UACGGGGGGGGCAAGCGUUGUUCGGAAUUACUGGGCGUAAAGGGUUCGUAGGUGGCCAACUAAGUCAGACGUGAAAUCCCUCAGCUUAACUGGGGAACUGCGUCUGAUACUGGUUGGCUUGAGUGCAGGAGAGGAACGCGGAAUUCCAGGUGUAGCGGUGAAAUGCGUAGAUAUCUGGAGGAACACCGGUGGCGAAGGCGGCGUCUGGACUGCAACUGACACUGAGGAACGAAAGCCAGGGGAGCAAACGGG
rnacentral:rRNA from 1 species